CAAGGCAUCUCUUCUAGCUCUUGUUUAGUUGCAGGUGACUAGGCAGUAACAGAGUAGAUGAAAAUAAUAACAGACCUGAAAACAGAUCAGACUAUUCAAACUCUCUUCCUGUUGUUUUCUGCCACCCAGAAAAUGUGCUCAGUAAGUCACAAAUCCAAGGUGAAAAGAGCAGACUGAAUGAAGGUUAUCUACACAUCCGGGGCUUCAAGAGCAGCUUUAUUGGACUCUUACUGAACCUGAGUUCAGCAGAGGCUUGGCGCCAUCAUGUGCACAGGGCCGAAUCUUUUAAUGGAACACACAGGCCAUAUUUGUACUUCUCUAGACAUCCUGAAAAAACCUACAAAAGACUCGCUAACUAAGCCCUAUUCUAAUGCCACACCAGGAUGUAGAUGUGACCCCAGGUAUUUGGAUAAGAUGAGAAAGCUGGGGAAGUUUCAGAUGACAGCGCUCUCUCUAUGGAAUGAGAAGGCUCCCACAAAGCAAGAGAAGGAGCUGCCAUCCUGCAGAGAACCAACUCACCUGGAGAACUCUUCCUGACAGAAAAUUCUCUCGGCAGUAAUUGUAACUUGCACGGGCACCUUCUUUGAUGCAUAGCCUCCAACCCUAAACAGGGGGGGGGGGGGGGGGGAAUCAAGAUGAACUUACAUUGUGGAUUAUAUCAGUGUCAGAGUAGAAACCGAAAGCUCUACAUGUAGGGUGCUAUAGCAGCCACACACGUUUUAUGCUCACCUUGUAUGCCUGAAGAAGGGCCAGAUAAUCACUGUUUGCUAAUGCAAACUCCAACUUUUUCUGAUUUGCUUCUUCCCUUUUGUCCCAGGGAGAUACCUAAAUAAAAAUUAGGAGUUGAAGGCCACUACUCAUUUCAGCUUUUAACUAACACUGUUCUAUUGUGGGUACCGGGUGCUUUGAAAAAGCAUUUAGUCUAAAACAAAGCAUCCUAAUUUUGUGGCUGAUUAGUUGCAAUCAGGAUGUUCUUGGAAACUCUAUUUUGAUCUGCCCUUGUGUUUCCAUCCACCCACAAUAAAUUAUUCUGGAUCUUUAGCUUCUAACUGGCAAUACUCCACCAAAAAAGCCACACUAAAAAGGUGCUACCAAAACCCUAAAUGCCAGUACCUUAUUUAACCCUUUGACAUCUUAAGUUUAGCAGAUUCUCUUUCAGAGAAUCAAAUGAUUCAAGUCUAAAAGUACUCUAAUGUUUCUUACUUGUCAUAACUAGUUAAUAACUAGUUUCCUACAUGGUCAUAACUAGUUAAUAUCUUUUUACUCUCACAAUGUCUCCUAGUCCCUGAUCUUCAUCUUUCUCUUUUUUUCCUCUCAGAAUUUGACUCCCUAAUUCCUUUUGAAUUCCAUGUAGGUUGCUUCUCUCACUUUUACAGAAGCAACCUACUUGCAAAACAAUUUUUUUUAAAAGUCUGAACCAAAUAGAAUAUUUAAUUCUGAUAUUUACAUCUAUUUUUAAAAUUAGGCACUUAAUCCAAUUUCCAGUCUCUAUUAAAAGAAAACAAAUUCUAAUUCAAGAAAAACAAUGGGAAAUGGUUAACAUUUUGGAAAAUAGCAUUUUUCAUACAGGACUAGCAAAAUGCCAAUCUAGUGAGACUGGGUACUUAAUGUUUCUAAAUGCAACCUAAUAGUAUUAGAACAAAAGAUAAUGCUUUAUACAUGAUAACUGUAGCUGAACUUUGAGAUGAUGGAUUUAUGUCAUCAGAAGUAUCAUCUAAGUAUUCAUCUGAGCUGAAGAGAAAGUGUUCAGUCAGCCCCAUCUGUACAAACAAGCCUUGGUACAACAUAAUUGUAUUCACUGAAGAAUCUAAGCUAUGGCUUUUACGUACCACUCAAGGCCAUUACACAGAAUUUGGAUCAUGUUAGUUUAGAGAAAUGUUGUCCAGGCUACAUACAAUACUUACAAAAGGGGACUUAAAGGCCAAACUAGCUGCAAUUGUUAAGGCAGGAUCCAGGCAACGGAAGAUGGCACCAAAUAGCAUGAACUUGCCAAUUCUCACAUCCACUGGUAAAGAAGCCAAAUGAUAACCCAAGGGGGUCAACUUUUCAUCUGAAGUUAAAGCCCCUAAGUCUUGAAGUCGAACUUUUGCGGUCCGGAGAGAUUCAAUUCGAGGUGGCUCAAUAAGCUGAGAGAACACAGACUGAAGGCUGUGAUCACUAAACAUCUCCAAAAUUUUAAUUCUUAAAAUGGAAAGAAAAUUACCUGUCAAUUUUAUGCUGACCAUUGUCAUUCAUGGAAUGACACAGAAGAUUUAAGUUUUCACCUUAAAGACAAAAAUAACAUUUAAGUUCUCAGAUCCUCACAUGUUUUCAAUGACCAAGUUACGAUCUUCAAAUUCAAACUUUGGGUCAUUGAUAAAGUUUUCCUAGAAGAAGUCUAAGCUCCUGAAAACUUCAGUUUACAGUGAGUAGAAUCUUCCCUCUCAACAUUCCAAAUGUCUAAGAUCUCUCUCAGUGAGUACAAACAGGGAAUUGAUUCCAGUUAAUUCUUAUAUUCCUUAGAGCAUUUACUGAUUGUGUAACUAACAUGGCAACUCUAUCAUCUUCUACCUUGUGGAGAGGCAGUAUGGCCUAAUGGCUAAAGACUAGGACUUAAAUUGAGGAAGAUCUGGAUUCAGAACUCUUUUCUGCCUUGGGUCAUGUUCUGGGCAACUUUCUAUGAUUUUAAAUUACAGAAAAGGUACUGUAAUUUUUCCUUACCAGGAAGUUCCCUGUACUAAUGAAAUCAGAGGUCUGGCCCCUAUCCCUAUCCCUAUCUACCUUGUGACAGACCAUUUUAAAUGGAAUUUAAUUAAAUGGUUUAGCAUAUGUUUAUGUCUUGUCUUCUCAAGUAGACUUUAAACAUCUUAAGAGAAGUUACUGUCACAUAUGUCUUUGAAUCCUCCAAAGUACCUUGUUCAAAACAAGUAUUCACUAAAAUUUUUGAUGAUUUGAUUUAUUCUUAGAAAGCUAAGCAGAACUGAUCUAACAUUUUACAUUUCUGACACUUCAUAUGAAAAUCCUCAAUGUACCUGUACUCAUUUUUUCUUAAGGUCUAUUUUAGGCCUUUAUCCAUCAAGGUUCUUUCAAAAUGGUUUCCACCUAAUACAGUCAUUUUGAAUGAAGUCUGUCAUAAAUAUAUAUAUAUAUAAUGCAAGUGAAGCAUCCUUGAGGAGUUUCUAUAUACCUCAUCAUGUGCACCUGACUGGUUCUUUUAUGUCAGUAUGUGGCAACAUUUUUUUCUACUUGGAAAAAGGAAUGGAUAUGGAUGGCCAAGUCAAUUAGGUCAAACUGAAAACACUUGGAAGCAGAUCAUAGACAUUCAGAUGUACCUGAGACACAGUUGUUCCAAUGGCACCCUUUGUAUUUCUGGCAGAUGUUGUUUUAAAAGCUGAUUAUUGUAGUGAUGACUACUGAAUAAAUGAAAGCAGACUCCAGAGGCAA